CAGGGUGCUACGCAGGCGAGGUCGUGGGGUCAGCGGGUCGGGCAGGAGCGAGCCCUAGACCACUGCGAGCGGGAAGCGGCCAGGCAUUUCCCAGCUGGCUCCAGCAGCUUUCCUUUCUCCACCGCUGGCCUCGUAGCUCCGCAGGGGCUGGAGGGUGAGGCCACAGCAGCGAAAGCGACUGAAGUCGGGACGCAGCCGCGUAAUGAAUAUCAGGGAGCUCUCUGAAGUAGCUGCAGAGGGUCAAGAGAUAUCCCUGGCAAUUCCUUUGCAUUGCUACUGGUUCAGCCGAAGAACUACUUUUUCCCCAGAUGCCUUCCAGGAUCUACUCAAGCUUGAAGUAAUGCCUCUCUUUCCUGGUCCUUUUGCCUCUUCUAGGUCAUUUGUACUUCCACUUGAAUUUUAAAAUCAACUUGCCAAUAUCUACAAAAAUAAUCCUGCUGGGAAUUUGAAAGAGAUUUCAUUGAACCUAUGAAUCCGUUUGUAAGGAAUUAUCACCUGAAUAAUAUUGAGUCUUCUGACCCAUUAAUAAGGUCAUCCCUCAGUGGACACCUGAAUUGCUUCCACAUUUAAGGUAUUGUAAGUAAUGAUGGUAUGAACAUGAGAAUACAAAUAUCUCUUCAAUAUCCUGCCUGACAUUCUUUGGAGUCCAAACUUGGAGAAAAAAAAAUUCUGGAGCACAUGGUAGUUCUACUUUUAAGUCUUUGAGAAACUGCCAUACUGUUUUCCACAGUAACUGUACCAUUUACAUUUCUACCAACACAAGGGUUUAAUUUCUCCACAGCCUCACUCACACUUAUUGUUGUUUUUUUAAAAUUGUAUUAGUAUGUAUUGGUGCAUCAUGAAUGCAUUCAUUGUGGGUAAUUGGUACAUAUACAUGAUGCAUCUUCUUUUUAUGUCCCCAUCCCCUUACCCCACAUCCUCCCUCUCUUAGUCCCCUUCUCAUUUGGCAGACAUCAGUCUCUCUAUUUCCUUUUGUCUUUUCUUUUGCUCUUUGAUUCGUUUAUACUUUGGGUUUCUCAUAUAAGACAUACUGUGCAAUUUUAAGCUUGUGGUUUCUGAUUUUUUUCACUUAAUAUUAUAGUUUCACGGUGCAUCCAUUUUCCUACUAAUGGCUCAAGUAUAUCCUUCUUCCCAAGUACAUUUGCAAGAGUAGUAUACAUUGUGUAUAAAUACCACAUUUUUAAAAUCCAUUCAUCUGUCAAUGGAUAUAUAGGCCUCUUCUAUGAUUUAUCUAUUAUGAAUUGUGCUGCUAUAAACAUGGGUAUAUGUGUAUCACUGCAGUAUGA